rnacentral:rRNA from 1 species
UACGUAGGGUGCGAGCGUUGUCCGGAAUUAUUGGGCGUAAAGGGCUCGUAGGCGGUUUGUCGCGUCGGGAGUGAAAACCCAGGGCUUAACCCUGGGCUGGCUUCCGAUACGGGCAGACUAGAGGUAUGCAGGGGAGAACGGAAUUCCUGGUGUAGCGGUGAAAUGCGCAGAUAUCAGGAGGAACACCGGUGGCGAAGGCGGUUCUCUGGGCAUUACCUGACGCUGAGGCGCGAAAGCUAGGGGAGCAAACGGG